rnacentral:lncRNA from 1 species
AGAUGCUGUCUUUUGCAGUCCUCCGAGAGGUUAGGGAUGUGGGAGGUCCCUGGGGGCCAUCUCUUACAAGACACAGUUUCCACUAAAUUGGAUCGUAUUUGUACAUCUCUACACCUGUGCGUGAUAGUAAACUUUUGCACCCAAAUACCCCGACCCCUGAAGGAGAGUGUGAGUUAAAAGGAUCUGAAGAACGGACCCUUUGUUUAAGCCUUCUCCGCUGGUGGUAUACUUACGAGGACCAGAGGUGAGGUGUCAGCAAGGAGGCCCACAGGUGGAAAGUGCUUUGGGCCAAUGGUACACACCUGCUUUAUUGGAUAGACGCAGAGAAGUAUGCCUGGUCACAGCCAGAGCUUACUCGGUCAAGAAAUUAUGAGCUCCCCAGAAGUCUCUUGUAUGCUGUCUCCUAGUUGUGAGCACCUUUUACCAAAGGUAACCACCAUUCUAACUUCUUUGACCAUAGAUUGGUUUUGGUUAUUUCUGGACUUUGAGCUUUGGAAUUGUACCACAUAUAUUCUUUUGUGUCUGGCUUCUUGUGGUCAGUAUUAUGUCCUUGAAAUUCAUUGAUGCUGUAUGACAUCGUAAGCAAUUAAAUAUUUGUCAUUGCUGAGUGGUA